CCAGAGAGUUCCCGCGCCCCCAGCCUCUUCCCGUUGGUGUCUUGCCCGUCCCCCGUCACCCAAGAGCUCUACGCCGUCGGUUGCGUGGCCGUGGGUUUCCUUCCCAACGAUCUCACCUUCGGGUGGAAGAACUCCGCCAACCAAAGCGUCACCAAAGGCGUCGCCGUCUUCCCUUCCGUCCUCACCGCCGGGCUUUACACGGCCGCCACCAGCCUCAGCCUUCCCUUACUCGACGGGAAAAGCCAACAACCCUUUUACUGCCGAGCCGACCAUCCCAGAGGAAAUCCCGUCAUCAAGGUCUCCAAUCCCGGUCACAAACCCACUCCCACAACACCCAUCGUCACCAUCCACCCGCCGUCCCGCGAAGAUUUCGACGGGCCUUACCGUAACUCCACCAUCCUUUGCCAAAUCCGCCGAAGCCAACAAUCGCCAACCACCGUCCAGUGGUUGAAAAACGGAAUUCCUCACCAAAACGGCAUCGUCACCGAAACUUGGCAGACCGACAGCAGAGAAUCCUUCAUUACCGACAGUCGGUUGAGCGUUACCGAAGCCGAAUGGGACGCCGGCACCGUUUUUACCUGCGCGGCGGAGGAAGAGUUGAGGAACACCAGUAAAGCGCUGGAAUGCAGCUGUAACAAAAAAAACAGGGUGAAGCCCCCCCCGCCAAUAUUUGCCGAUAUCUUCAAGGAUAAAGUCGCCAAGUUGACGUGUAAGGUGACCAACUUGCCGAGCGUGGAAGGUUUGGUGGUUUCGUGGUGGAAAGAAACGGGCGAAAAAUUGGAAACCAAACCUUCGCCUCAAGUUUUGCAACCCAACGGCCUUUUCGGCGUCGCCGGCUUCGCCACCGUUUGCGCCGACGAAUGGGAGAAGGGGGAGGUCUACACUUGCAAGGUCAGCCACCCCGAGCUGCUCUUCCCCGCCGAGGUCAAGUUGCAGAAGACC